UACAUUCAAUUCAAAGCAAAUUGAGAGAUAUAUUACUUUGAUCUUCAUCCUUCGUCUGUUUAGGCUUCAACUCAACUAAUUCUGCACAAAUGAACUCUCACUCUAUGGCUUUCCUUUUCUUCGCUCUUCUUCUUGUCACAGUUGAAUGCAAUUCAGAAGGGGAUGCUCUGAAUGCUUGGAAGAUUAAUUUGGCAGAUCCAAACAAUGUCCUCCAGAGUUGGGACCCAACACUGGUUAAUCCAUGUACCUGGUUUCACAUUACUUGCAACAAUAUGAACAGCGUGAUUAGAGUGUAGGUGCCCUUUCUUGGUUGGUUUGAUUAGUUUUCAUCUAAUUAGUGACUUUGAAACAUGAUUAAGCAACGCUAAAAUAUACCGAGAAAAUUCAUUGUGUUGGGUCUAUCCCACAUCAACUCGGGAGUGACUCCUCGUCUACCUUAUAAGCAUACUGGCUCCCUCCAUCUGUCAACAACAGGCCUUUUCCCCUCUUUCAGGG